GAGGGACUGCAGAGUCCAAACUGUAGACUGGAGACUCUGAGUGCCAAUGGUUAAAGUUAGAGUUAUCCUCCUCCUCUUCUGACUGCGCUGGCUUCCUCAAUCUACAACAACAAAUUGAAGAACAGGAAGGAAGGAUUUCCCCACUACCAAAUUAACCAAGAUGAACAGCUUACUGACACGCUGUUUGAAUCAUCAACCUAUAUUCCUGCUAUCAAAACAUCAGAAUGAGAAGCACCAGUCAAAUUUGCAGAUGCGGAGACUGCAACCCAUGCUACAGACCUGGCUGACCCCUGACUUGACUCAAGCACAAAUGGACUGGAGGUAUCCCCACCGGCACUCGCUACAGACCUAGCUGACACCCUCUCCUGGGUCUCACUGGGGACUGACCCCACAGACAUCCCCACUGGUGCUCACCACAGAUCUCUGCAAAGCAAAGGUGCUAGGCUGAAAGUCUCCACUCCUGGUCAGCUGUGGUCUGAUGUUGUCUGUCGGGUAAAAAACAAGCACAAGCGCAAAUCUCGAGACACUCCCCCAUUGCUUAGUGAACCAGAUGUAAUGACUGCUAAUGGUAAUGACAGCACUACCAUGUAAGGGAUGCAGCGUGUUAGUACUAGUUUCAGAGCUAAUGCCAAAACCUGCAUAAUGUCCAUUUCUCCUGCCUACUACAACACCACUAUUGAGCUACGCUGCUGAGUUUAAGAAUCUGAACCUACAGAGUAGGUAUACAUUCGCCUUGAGAGACUGACAACUUUGUCUAGCUCACUGUGCUGCAGCCUACUUUUCACCCUGUUGAGGCCCGCUGUCAACUCUCAACAUACGUCAGAUAUCCAACCACCUGUAACUCAUUGAGCCAGGACUCCCUACAGACUCCCGGCCUCAGCAUGCUUCAUCUCCCUCUGCAACACUACAGGUGAUGUAUGUAUAAUCAUUGUCUGCUGGGCAUCAUUCAUGCAUCACGCAUAAAUGUACUACAUGGUACACAACAUAUCACACACUUAAUUACAGCUCCCUAUAGCUGUACAGUGUAUAGCCAUUAACUAUUUCUUUAUUCAAUUUUCAUCUGUCAGUUUUCCAGAUAGUUAUACUGUCACCCCUUUAUUGUCAUUGUUGAUGGUUCAUGUCUUCCAUUAUGGAACUCCUGUAAUUGCACUGCAGUUUGCACGAGAUAUUGUUUUAAUUAUCAGUAUUGUAUGUUCACAUGAUAAUUUCUUCCUUCCAACCAUAGGUAUACCUCUUGUAUAUACUAUAUUCACUUAUAUUACCUGACUAUUGAGUGUGCUUUACUUUAGUAAUAAAUGUAUAACUUUGCAUAAAGUCA